rnacentral:rRNA from 1 species
CAAGUCGAACGGUAACAGGAAGAAGCUUGCUUCUUUGCUGACGAGUGGCGGACGGGUGAGUAAUGUCUGGGAAACUGCCUGAUGGAGGGGGAUAACUACUGGAAACGGUAGCUAAUACCGCAUAACGUCGCAAGACCAAAGAGGGGGACCUUCGGGCCUCUUGCCAUCGGAUGUGCCCAGAUGGGAUUAGCUAGUAGGUGGGGUAACGGCUCACCUAGGCGACGAUCCCUAGCUGGUCUGAGAGGAUGACCAGCCACACUGGAACUGAGACACGGUCCAGACUCCUACGGGAGGCAGCAGUGGGGAAUAUUGCACAAUGGGCGCAAGCCUGAUGCAGCCAUGCCGCGUGUAUGAAGAAGGCCUUCGGGUUGUAAAGUACUUUCAGCGGGGAGGAAGGGAGUAAAGUUAAUACCUUUGCUCAUUGACGUUACCCGCAGAAGAAGCACCGGCUAACUCCGUGCCAGCAGCCGCGGUAAUACGGAGGGUGCAAGCGUUAAUCGGAAUUACUGGGCGUAAAGCGCACGCAGGCGGUUUGUUAAGUCAGAUGUGAAAUCCCCGGGCUCAACCUGGGAACUGCAUCUGAUACUGGCAAGCUUGAGUCUCGUAGAGGGGGGUAGAAUUCCAGGUGUAGCGGUGAAAUGCGUAGAGAUCUGGAGGAAUACCGGUGGCGAAGGCGGCCCCCUGGACGAAGACUGACGCUCAGGUGCGAA